CUGGUGAUCACUCACCCACAAUAUUCAGUUGCAAUUCCGCCUUGUAGAGUAUAGAGUUGGUAUGGUGGGUGAUAGCCAUUUCAGUCAUGAUCAUCCAUUGACAUCCUUUCGUGAUGAGAUGGAAGCGGAUGCUUCUGAUAACUAUCAUUCUUGCAAAAUAUGUGGUUUGCCAAUUCUAUCUGCUCCCUCCUACACUUGCACCUUUGCUGCUUGUGAUUUUUUUCUGCACCAAUCAUGUGCCCACAAAAUCCUACAAAAAUUAAUCCUUCCCAAUCUUAAAGACCACCCCCUUUAUCUCCAAGUAGGAAGUCCCAGUUACUUCUACGAAUGUAAUUAAUGCCGUCUCAAAAUGCAUCCUUUGGAUGCAGCAGCAGCAGCAGUGGAUGGUGUAGAGAUCAAAAGCAAACACAAGAGCCAUCCACCUCACCCUCUCAUGGCUUACUGUAGAUAGAUUUUCACUCGUUGCGAUGCCUGUGGGGAGGGACAUGCCGGUUUCUUCUUCUCAUGCCAACUCUGUAAUUUCUGGAUUCAUCAAGCCUGCACACCAUACUGCCUACUGCUAUCACGCUCCCCUCUCGUCCUCUGCCUCUGCUUCUCGUAUAUUCUAUUCCUGCCAGUUCCCGAUAUAGUUGGUGCAUUGUUUGCGACAAACCCUUGCUUCAUACCCAUAACACCAUCUAUUUAUGUCCCCAAACCUUAAGCAUUUCUCAUGUCAGAUGUGGACUCGAUAAAAUUCAAUCCAAAACGAGGCUAGAGUUGAUCCAACUGCCAGAUGACAAGUUGGACACAUUUCCAAGUUUGGAGAUCCGUACAUACUCCCAGAGAAACAAAGAUGAUAGUAUUGGUGAUGAUGAAAACAAGAAGCUUGCAAUUGAGAAUUUUCACAAGCAUCCUUUGAUCCUAGUUGGUGAUGAGGAAGAGGAUCAUAUUUAUAAUUGCAAAAAACUAGUGUGUGAUAUAUGCAUACAAACCAUUCCUAUUCCAUCUCCAUUUUACAGAUGCUCUCAACAAGGCGGCUGCUCUUUCCUUGCCCAUAAAGUCUGUGCAGACCUUCUCUCCAUUAUCAAGUUUGAGAUUCCAAUUGAUGUAGGCAACGUAGUAUUAAAGGCACAACCUUGUCCGCACCCGGACAAAUGGUUCUUCAGUUCAAUAUUUCUCUGCUGUUGCUGUUGUCUUCCUUGCAAUGCACCUUGCUACUACAUUCCAGAAGAUGAUUUAGGUCUCUUCACUGAUCUGUCGUGCAUGGCUGUCCCAUACAUUAUAAAGCACAGCUCACACAGCCAACACAUUCUCUUUCGCACCACCAGCCAAUUGAUUCAGACCUCCGCCAUCACUUGUUGUUCCCGCCGCCCCACCGUUCAUGAUAUCUAUAAGUGCACUACGUGCCAUUUCUACAUUCAUAUAAGGUGUGCCUUACUACCAAAAAGGGUUCAUUUUCAUAAAUUCGAUCAACAUCCUCUGCAUUUGAUCACUACGGGUACUAGUAAUAGUACAAGUAGUGAUCAUGACAUCUGUGAGGUGUGUGAGGAAGGUAUAGAGUGCAAGUAUUGGUUCUACCACUGUGCUCAAUGUGACUACUCUUUCCACGUAAACUGCAUUCCCUCGCUUGGAUAUUUGUCGAAAGUCAAGUUUGGAGGAAAAAGUAGCAUGCCUUGUCACUCUCAUCCUCUCACACUCACACGGAUGCUUACUUAUGGAAGAAAUGAGAGGUGUGGGUAUUGCAACCAAAUCAUUCGAGGAUUGGUAGAUCAAGCGGCUUUCUCAUGUUCACAAUGCGAUUAUUGGAUUCAUUUUUCUUGUGCGAGGGAUUCAUUCACAUCCUCUCACAAUUGUACAUCCUUGGUUUUCGAGGAAACCGAUGCACAGAAGUGGUAUGAUAUUCUUGAAGCCGAAAGAUCAAUUACUUGUACCGUAAUGAUGUAAUUGUGGAAUAGAUGAAUUUACUCUGUUUAAGAAACUGUAAUUGUUGCUGGUGAGGUGUGUGUAUUUAGUGAAUUACUUAAUUAUUUACAAUAUUUGAAUUGCCUAUUUUUUUUAUGUAUU